rnacentral:rRNA from 1 species
AGAAUCAACGCUGGCGGCGUGCCUAACACAUGCAAGUCGCACGAGAAAGGGGAGCAAUCCCUGAGUAAAGUGGCGCACGGGUGAGUAACACGUGAAUAAUCUACCUCCGAGUGGGGGAAUAACUGAGAGAAAUCUUAGCUAAUACCGCAUAAUACCCACGGGUCAAAGCAGCAAUGCGCUUGGAGAGGAGUUCGCGGCCGAUUAGUUAGUUGGCGGGUAAUGGCCCACCAAGACGAUGAUCGGUA